UACGUAGGGGGCAAGCGUCGUCCGGAUUUAUUGGGCGUAAAGAGCGUGUAGGCGGCCUGAAAGGUCAGCUGUGAAAACUCGAGGCUCAACCUCGAGACGUCGGUUGAAACCAUCUGGCUAGAGUCCGGAAGAGGAGUGUGGAAUUCCCGGUGUAGCGGUGAAAUGCGCAGAUAUCGGGAAGAACACCCGUGGCGAAGGCGGCACUCUGGGACGGUACUGACGCUGAGACGCGAAAGCGUGGGGAGCGAACAGG
rnacentral:rRNA from 1 species